ensembl:miRNA
AGAGUGGGGGUCUGCAGGGUGGUAGGCUGUGGGCUAUGUGGUGAGGCCCCCCGCCUGCCCACCUGUCCAGGCAUGGCCAUCUUC